rnacentral:rRNA from 1 species
ACGAACGCUGGCGGCGCGUCUAAGACAUGCAAGUCGAACGGGGGUAGCAAUACCCUAGUGGCGAACGGGUGAGUAACACGUAGCUACCUGCCUUCCGGUGGGGGACAACAGUUCGAAAGGACUGCUAAUACCGCAUACGAUCUGCGGAUGAAAGCCUUCGGGCGCCGGAAGAGGGGGCUGCGGCCUAUUAGCUUGUUGGUGAGGUAACGGCUCACCAAGGCGAUGAUGGGUAGCUGAUCUGAGAGGAUGAUCAGCCACACUGGGACUGAGAUACGGCCCAGACUCCUACGGGAGGCAGCAGUUAAGAAUCUUGCGCAAUGGGCGAAAGCCUGACGCAGCGACGCCGCGUGGAGGAUGACGGCCUUCGGGUUGUAAACUCCUUUUCGGAGGGAAGAUAAUGACGGUACCUCCGGAAUAAGCCCCGGCUAAUUACGU